rnacentral:tRNA from 1 species
GAGGGUAUAGCUUAGUGGUAGGGCGCAUGCUUAGCAUGCACAAGGUACUGGGUUCAAUCCCCAGAACCUCCU